rnacentral:rRNA from 1 species
UACAGAGGGUGCGAGCGUUGUCCGGAAUCACUGGGCGUAAAGGGCGCGUAGGCGGCGCGGUAAGCGUGCGGUGAAAGCCCGGGGCUCAACCCCGGGUCGGCCGUGCGGACUGCCGGGCUGGAGCACUGUAGAGGCAGGUGGAAUUCCGGGUGUAGCGGUGGAAUGCGCAGAUAUCAGGAAGAACACCAACGGCGAAGGCAGCUCGCUGGGACGGAACUGACGCUAAGGCGCGAAAGCGUGGGGAGCGAACAGG